CCUACGGGUGGCUGCAGUAGGGAAUUUUCGGCAAUGGGGGGAACCCUGACCGAGCAACGCCGCGUGAACGAAGAAGUUAUUCGUAAUGUAAAGUUCUUUUAACAGGGAAGAAAGAAUAAUUUUACGUUACCUGAAUAAUAGACUCCGGCUACCUACGUGCCAGCAGCCGCGGUAAUCCGAAGGGCGCCGGUUUUAUCAGUAAUUAUUGGGAGAAACGGGUUCGCUGAGGGAAUAGAAAGUCUUUGGUAAAAAUGCUGGGCUCAACCCAGUAGGGCAACAGAUACUGGAAAGCUAGAGUAUGACAGAGAGGAGUAGAACUACAUGUGUAGCGGUAAAAUGCGUAAAUAUAUGUAAGAACACCAGAGGCGAAGGCGGCUUGCUGGGUCGAUACUGACAUUGAGGCACGAAAGCGUGGGGAGCAAACAGGAUUAGAUACCCUUGUAGUC
rnacentral:rRNA from 1 species